CACGUAGGGGGCAAGCGUUGUCCGGAUUUAUUGGGCGUAAAGAGCUCGUAGGCGGCUUGGUAAGUCGGGUGUGAAACCUCCAGGCUCAACCUGGAGACGCCACUCGAUACUGCUAUGGCUAGAGUUCGGUAGGGGAGACUGGAAUUCCUGGUGUAGCGGUGAAAUGCGCAGAUAUCGGGAGGAACACCAGUGGCGAAGGCGACUGUCUGGGGUAUUGCUGACGCUGAGGCACGAAAGCCAGGGGAGCGAACGGGG
rnacentral:rRNA from 1 species